AAAUGUAUUUAUGAAAAGAAUAAUAGUGUAGAUACGAGUAAUCUGAAUCACUUAAUUUCUUGUUUGAAUGCCACGCAAAUUGAAAUCAAUGAUUUUUUAACUAGCCUCGUUGAGAAACAAGACAGUUUUAUUGAUACAGGAAUUUUAGAUCGGCUAGCGUCAGAAAGCGAUUCGGAUUUCGAAGACGCAGUUGAAGUUAACCCUAAAAAAUCUAAACUAACGGAUUAAUAAUUUUGUAAGGGUUCUUUGAUAUUGUAAAAUUUAUAUAGCAUUUAAAUGUUAUAUUUUUUGCAUUAAUCGUUACCCUAUAAUGUAUCGUCACAACAUUAUGUGUGCUCACAAAUAAAAACUUGUAAUGGUUAGGAACAA